UCUAACUUCCCACUAAUUUUUGCUCUAUUAUAUACCCUCCCUUUGGCUUUUAUGGUGGCUUUGACCUGUUAGCCGCAGUUAUGUCAUCUUGCCUUUAGAAUACUUCUUCUUCUUUGGAAUGUAUAUAUCCUGUGCCUUCAGAAUUGCUUCCAGAAAUUCCAGCCAUUGCUGCUCUGGCAGGGUUCUUUUCCAAUCAGUUCUAGCCAACACCCUCUCAUGCCUUUGUAGUUCCCUUUACUCCACCGCAAUACUGAUACAUCUGACUUCAGCUUCUCCUUCUCAUAUGUCAGGGUGAAUUCAAACAUAUUACUCUCUCCUAAGGGUUCUUAUACCUUAAGCUCUCUAAUCAAUUUUGGUUCAUUGCACAACACCCAAUCCAGAACAGCUGAUCCUCUAGUGGGAUCAACCACGAGCUGCUCUAAAAAGCCAUCUUGUAGGCACUCUAGAAAUUCCCCCUCUUGGAUCCAGCACCAACCUGAUUUUUCCCAGUCUACCUUCCCAUGACUAUUGUAACAUUGCCCUUUUGAUGUGUAUUUUCUAUCUCUUCUUGUAAUUUGUAGGACACAUCCUUACUCUAGGGUUCUGUAUAAAACUCCCAUCAGGAUCUUUUUACCCUUCCCCUUCGUCUAUUGACAAUUAUUCAACACCUUUCGACCCUAUGUCACCUCUUUCUAAUGAUUUGAUUUCAUGUUUUACCAACAGAGCAAUGCUGCCCUCACUGCCUUCCUGCCUGUUCUUUCAAUACAAUGUAUAUCCUUGGAUAUUAAGUCCUCAGAUAUAAUCUUCUUUCAGCCAUGAUUCAGUGAUGCCGACAACAUCAUUCCUGCCAACCUACAACUGUGCUGCCAUCAAGACCAACCAUUGAACAUGGCGCAUCUGGAUUCAGUACCACUAUGCAUAAUGAGAGGAAAUGAGAAGAGAAAGAGAUUUUCCAGAAGACCUGCUUGCGCUGAAUGAAAAAAAAUUGCAUCAACCAGCUUCAUUCUCCAGUGAUUUCAGUCACAGCACUACACAUUACAAUACUGUGGUUACCCUAUCAAGUGAUCUUGUACAUUGUUCAACAUAGACAAAAUCAGCUUAAGGGUGUGUGGAAAGGUCUAUAAAAUGGAACCCCUUUCUAACCUGUGCAAGGCCUAUAUACAUCCUGCCAGAAUUAGACAAUCCAAAAUGUCACAUCACAUUUAUCUGUACUAAAUUCCAUUUGCCACUGCUCUGUCCAAUUUUCCAGGUGAUCUAUUUCGCUCUGUAUUCUUGGGCAGGCAUACGCACUGCAUACAACCCUACCAAUCUAUGUGUCAUCAACCAACUUACUUAUCAGACCACAGUCAUUCUCAUGCAAGUCACUUAAAUAAAGGUUGCAGUUCCAAUCCCUGCGGUACACCAUUAAUUAAAUACUUCCAGUCAAUAAAGCAGCCCUUUCACCUUACCCUUUGCCUCCCAUCAAAGACAGCACUUCUUUUCUUUUCUUUUAACUUCUACCCACAUAUAACUUUAUUUGCCAAUCGCUCCAGGAUAUUUUCCUUGCGUAUUCCUGUAGUGCUCUCUCUGAUCAGCAGUUUAACAUCUGGAACACCCCACCUCUUGCUAUUAAACAAAUGCAGCAUUUUAAUUAUCUUUGAAAUAAAAUUAUAAAAUGAUAAUCGGCACCAAAACUUUAACAAGCUUGUAACAAAUUCUUUAUGUGCCACUUAACAGAAAUUAAAAUUUGUGAAAGGGAUGCAUAUAAAAUAUCAAUACUAGCUGUAAUUAGUAUCAUAUAUUAAAAAUCUUGAAGUCUUCUAGAUGAGUUAUAAUCGUCUGUUUUGCUAGCACUGCAUAUAUACAGAUGUUCCAAAGUGUGCUGUUUUGUUUCAUAUUGCAUAUGUCACCAGAUCAUAAUUUUGGCUUUUCUGUAUAAUUGAAGUGCCUUCCAGCCAGGCAGAAUGCCAUGUCUAUUUUUCAAAAAGUAAACCACAGUGGAAUGAGUAUCCCAAUAAAUUAUGUAUUUCUGUAAAACCAGGGAGUCAUUUUGAAACCAGUUGGAUCAUUUAGUCAGGCAAAUGUAAAUAAUAACAUUUUGCAUUUAGUAUAAGUACAAUCUGUGACUAAUGUGAAUUUUAUUACAUCCGUGCAAUCAUUUUUUCUUGCAAUAAUGAAAUAUCAUUCUUACUGUUCUCUUUGUUGUUAUCAACUUUUGGUAUUGUCUUACUUACAUUAAAGAUAAACAACAAAAAACAAAACAGAUCUUUUCAAUAUAUUACGUUCAUAAAUACACUCAAUGACGACUUUAUUAGGUACACCUGUGUGUUUAUGCAAAUAUCUAAUCAGCCUAUCAUGUGGCAGCAACUCAAUGCAUAAAAGCGUAUAGGUUCAGUUGUUGUUCAGAUCUAACAUCAAAAUGAAGAAUUAAUGUGAUCUAAGUAACUUUGACCAUAGGAUUGCAGGUUUGUGCCUGAGAGGGUGGUUCUUCCAAGUUGCUGAUCUCCUGGUCUUUUCAUGCACAUAAGUCCCUAGAGUUUACACAGAAUCGUGUGAAAAACAAAAAAGCACCCAGAGAACGGUAUUUCUGUGGACAAAAAUGCUUUGAUAAUGAGGUCAGAGGAGAAUGGCCAGACUGAUUCAAGCUGACAGGAAGGUGAAGGUAACUCAAAUAACCACAUGUGACAGUUGUGGUGUGUAGAAGAGCAUUUCGGAAUGCACAAUAUUUCAAAUCAUGAAAUCAUGAGGCCACAACAGCAGAAGACUGCACACUCCUAUACCUAAUAAAGUGGCCAUUGAGCACACUUUUCAUUCAAUAAUGUAAAAUUAAUUAUUUCAAUAUUUAAUUUUUAUUCUGAGUUUAUUUUUGUAGCUUCCUCUCAUUUUAAUUAUGUCCCCUCAUAUGUCCUUCCCAGAAAAUAUAUCUUAAUCUAAGGAUUUACUAUCUUUCUGAUGCCCCUGAAAUGAAUUAAAGCAACCCUGCUCUCUUCA